rnacentral:rRNA from 1 species
GUACACACCGCCCGUCACACCAUGAGAGUUGGGGAUACCCGAAGCCUGUGAGCUAACUAUUUAUAGGAGCAGCACGUCGAAGGUAGAAUCAAUGAGUUGGGUGAAGUCGUAACAAGGUAAC